UAGUGUAGGCCUCUCAACAGUUAAGCACUAUCAGGAGAGCAGCAUCCAAUAGGCUGGACAUCAAGGAAGUAGCCUGCAGUCAUGUGCAAGCUUUAGCUAUUGGUCUCCAGGAAACCAGAUGAACUCUGCGAUCUAAUCUACUGAGUUAAUUUUUUGAAAAUUAAUCAGCAAUAUUGAUGCUGAGCAAGAGCAAAACAUUAUAAGUGCACCUACAAGGCAGCACAUCUGAUUUUUGCAAUAAUCUUCUUUUCACAAAUCAAAAGUCAAAGAAAUGUGGUUCUUGGGGGAUAUUGUUGGGGCCUUUUUGCUUAUUUGAAUAAAUUAUUUAGGCUGAUAUGAGAUUUUUUUUUUAUUCCCUUUUGACUCCUUAGUUGCAUGGUCUGCAACACCUGCUCACAUUUUUGUAACAUUCUUGACAGUGCAUCUGUUGUUGAAGAUAGCUUUGAAUAUCUUGAUGCCCCUAUUGAGAGGAUUGCUGGGGCCAAUGUACCAAUGCCUUACGCAUCGAACCUUGAGAAAAUGGCUCUACCACAGGUUUGUUUCAUCAUGUGUCAUGUUUCUGUAAUUUCAUAUGUACAAAUGACUUUCAGCUUUUUUGUUUCUGUUAGUCAUUUCAAAAGACAUUUACUUAAUUUCCUUAGACUAUAUGUUUCCGGGUAUGGAUAUUGUUUGAGUUUUGACUUCUGUUUUAUUUAUUGGAUUUAUCAGAUUGAAGACAUUGUUCGUGUUGCAAAGCGUGCAUACUAUAGAGCAGUACCAAUGGCGGCAGCAGCAUAAGCUUUAUCAUAUGUUUUGUUUUACUUUGAGGUAGUUUUCUUUGUUUUUUCUUGUAAAUCUUUUUUUUUCAUAAGUAUUUUCCAUCCUAUAUUACGUGGAAUCGGGUAUAUAUCCAACUAUUUAAGUAUCUGACUUGGCCAUUUUAUAUAAUAAAGUUCCAUGAUUUUGGCCCCGAAUGAAGUGUGAAGUGUCGGGGAUCCCACACAGGUUCUUGAGGGUAUUGUAAGGAAUAAUCUGUCUCGGAUUUUCUUUGGGACGAGAAUACAAGAUGAAGAGCCUCUAAAUCGCAAGGGUUAUGUUAACAGGCCAUAUACAAGGUGCUCUUUAGAUGCUAUGUAGUCUUAAAUUGCAGAGAUUUUGUUCUUUAUCUUCUGCAAUACUAUGUCAGGAUAUCUUUUGUGGUGCUGGCACAAAUAUGGUUCAGUUUUAGAUUCAGUUAUUUCUUUGCUGAUGCAAUGAGAAUUGCUCUUAUGAUAUCUUAACUUGGUUGAUCCC